rnacentral:rRNA from 1 species
UACGAAGGGGGCUAGCGUUGUUCGGAAUUACUGGGCGUAAAGCGCGUGUAGGCGGUUGUUCAAGUCAGGUGUGAAAGCCUUGAGCUCAACUCAAGAAAUGCACUUGAUACUGGAUGACUAGAGGACCGGAGAGGAUAGUGGAAUUCCCAGUGUAGUGGUGAAAUACGUAGAGAUUGGGAAGAACACCAGUGGCGAAGGCAGCUCGCUGGGACGUUACUGACGCUGAGACGCGAAAGCGUGGGGAGCAAACAGG